GACGAACGCUGGCGGCGUGCUUAACACAUGCAAGUCGAACGAAGUGGCGAACGGGUGAGUAAUACGUGGGUAACCUGCCCUCCUUUUUGGGAUAAGCCUUGGAAACGGGGUCUAAUACCGAAUAAAGGGGGAUGGGCUCGCGGCCUAUCAGCUUGUUGGUGGGGUGAUGGCCUACCAAGGCGGUGACGGGUAGCCGGCCUGAGAGGGUGAACUGCCACAUUGGGACUGAGGUACGGCCCAGACUCCUACGCGAGGCAUCACUGGUGGAUAUUGCAGACUGAGCGAAAGACGGAUGCGGCGGCGCCGUGAGGGGGAUGAAGUCUUUCGAGGUGUAAACCUGUGUCGCUAGCGAUCGGUUAGGUGAACUAGAAGCGCUGCCGAACCACGUGCCAGCAGCCGCGGUAAUUC
rnacentral:rRNA from 1 species